UGCCAAGUCGGUAAGCAAAUCGAUCAUUUUAUAACCAUAAACAUAUGUUUUGUAUUCGAUACAAAAUACGUAAGAACGUGAAGAGCAAUUUAUAAGAACAAAUUUGCAAGUUAUAUUUUCUAUUUUAUAUGAUUUGGACAAUGUUUAGAGGAAUUUUUAGGUAAUGUAUAAAAUGUGCAAGUAUCAGGACAGUCGUUAAUAAUACCAGGCCACCAUGGGUAGCCUUUGACGUAUGCCCAAACAAUGCUACCUGCGUUAUAAGCAUUUUCAAUUAAAUCAGUCUUGAUGCUACAUGAUGUAGGACGUUCUGCUAUAUCACAAGAUGCCAUCAAUUUGUCUGUGAAAUCAUAUAAUAAAAUUAAACACAUAUGUACAUAUGAAACAUACAAUAUAUUUCAAAACAAAA